rnacentral:tRNA from 1 species
GCCAUCUUAGCUCAGCUGGUAGAGCAACGGUUUUGUAAACCGUAGGUCGCGGGUUCGAAUCCCGCAGAUGGCU